rnacentral:rRNA from 1 species
AUUGAACGCUGGCGGCAUGCCCUACACAUGCAAGUCGAACGGCAGCACGGGAGCAAUCCUGGUGGCGAGUGGCGAACGGGUGAGUAAUGUAUCGGAACGUGCCUUGUCGUGGGGGAUAACGUAGCGAAAGCUACGCUAAUACCGCAUACCAUCCAAGGAUGAAAGCGGGGGAUCGCAAGACCUCGCGCGACAAGAGUGGCCGAUAUCAGAUUAGGUUGUUGGUGGGGUAAAGGCCUACCAAGCCGACGAUCUGUAGCUGGUCUGAGAGGACGACCAGCCACACUGGGACUGAGACACGGUCCCGACUCCUACGGGGGGCAGCAGUGAGGAAUAUUGGGCAAUGGGCGGAAGCCUGACCCAGCAACGCCGCGUGGAGGAUGAAGGCCUUCGGGUCGUAAACUCCUUUG